UACGUAGGGGGCAAGCGUUAUCCGGAUUUAUUGGGCGUAAAGAGCUCGUAGGCGGCCGUUCGCGUCGGAUGUGAAAGCUCAGGGCUCAACUCUGAGAUGCCAUUCGAUACGGGACGGCUAGAGGUAGGUAGGGGAGAAUGGAAUUCCCAGUGUAGCGGUGAAAUGCGUAGAUAUUGGGAAGAACACCGGAGGCGAAGGCGGGUUGCUGGGCCGACACUGACGCUGAUGCGCGAAAGCCAGGGGAGCGAACGGG
rnacentral:rRNA from 1 species